GCUGGAAUUUCGGCUUAGAGUUUGAUCCUGGCUCAGGGCGAACGCUGGCGGCGUGCCUUAGACAUGCAAGUCGAGCGAUAGGCAUCCUUCGGGGUGCUGAGAGCGGCGAACGGCGGAGUAACACGUGGGUAACCUGCCCCGAAGACAGGGACAACCCGGGGAAACUCGGGCUAAUACCGGAUGUGGAUGUGUGGGCUUCGGCGCGUGCAUCUAAAUGGGUAUUCCGCUUCGGGAUGGGCCCGCGGCCUAUCAGGUAGUUGGUGAGGUAAGGGCUCACCUAUCCUACGACGGGUAGCCGGUCUGAGAGGACGAUCGGCCCGAGGGGCACUGAGACACGGGCCCCACUCCUACGGGAGGCAGCAGUCGGGAAUUUUGGGCAAUGGGCGCAAGCCUGACCCAGCGACGCCGCGUGGAGGACGAAGCCCUUCGGGGUGUAAACUCCUUUUAGUGGGGACGAACGCAGACGGUACCCACAGAAAAAGCCCCGGCUAACUACGUGCCAGCAGCCGCGGUAAUACGUAGGGGGCGAGCGUUGCCCGAAUUUUACUGGGCGUAAAGCGCACGUAGGCGGCUCCGUAAGUCUGGUGUGAAAUCUCACGGCUCAACCGAGAGACUGCACCAGAUACUGCGGAGCUCGAGGGCUAGAGAGGAGAUUGGAAUUCCCGGUGUAGCGGUGAAAUGCAUUGAUAUCGGGAGGAACACCAGUGGCGAAGGCGGAUCUCUGGCUCGCUUCUGACGCUGAGGUGCGAAAGCUGGGGGAGCGAAAGGGAUUAGAUACCCCUGUAGUCCCAGCCCUAAACGAUGGGCGCUAGGUGUUGGGGGAUUAACCCUCGGCGCCGUAGCUAACGCAUAAGCGCCCGCCAUA
rnacentral:rRNA from 1 species